AAGAUUUUAAGUUAUAUAAACUAAAAACCUUCAAAGUUUUAAAAGGACUUAAUUCCAAAUCUUG
rnacentral:tRNA from 1 species